rnacentral:tRNA from 1 species
GGUCCCGUACCUAAGCGGGACAGAGCAUCAGAUUCCUGACCUGUCGUGCGUUCGAGUCGCGCCGGGAUCACCA